GCUGCCGUUACACAAACUGACACACCGUGUGUCUGCAAGGUCACACCGUGCUUGACAGCGGCUACAAAGACAGACGACGGCUGGAGCUGAGCCCAGCUCAUCACGAUCCCAGACCACAGACGUGCCCCUUGCCGGCUUUGCCAGCGUGCUGGGCACGUCACCCUUCCCGCUUGUCGUUUUCUAUCGCUGCGUGAUUGUCAACGACGCCAAGAAGCUGGGCGAGGAGAAUAUCAGAGCAUAUCAGGUGGGCAGCGCCUCAGGGCCUCAGCCCAAACGCACCAGAGUUCAUCUUCUCAAACACCGGGUACCACCUACGUCGUCUCAAAUACCUGAACUUCUACCCGGGCGAACAUCCUUCUGCUGUUUAAGCGCAAGAGCCCAAGCUAACUCCACAAAGUGUCUCUUGGAUAAAACCAGUUGUCUCUAUGGACACCAUCUUGGUCUGCCUGUCCUUGGGAGAGAUCCUGAAGCCCAGGACGAAGGAGUUUGCAGGAUGGGAAGAAUGCCUGGGCCUGAAAAAGACCGAUUUCUUCAAAAAGCCAUGAGAACUGCGUCUGAGGCAGAAUACCUAGCCCUGGGACUAAGAUCAAGAAAGGAAACCUCUAAGCUUUUCUCGGAGCAAGUGAAAAUAAAAUUUUGAGUGAAGU